ACAGCCUUUUACUAAUAAUUCUAAACGGGCCAAAGCCAUAAAAAAUGCCAUUGAAGUUCUUAUAUCGACAGAGGGAAAUAUUAAUAGUUCUGAAACUACACUGUCCCAGAUGUGAUUAGGUUUAUUAUGUGCUCAAAGGGCAUUCAAAAAACUGUUGGCUUAGUAAACUAAAAGGUGUCAGUGUAAUUUAAAAUAAAUACUUUUAUAUAUAGGCUAUAUUAAUUACUUAAUUUCAUUCUAAAAUACUUUAUUUCAUUCAUAUCUUUUAUUUAUUGGAGACUCUUUUGGUUGAAGGAAGCAGCAUAAGUUUAUUUUAUCAUAAGUUUAUUUUAUGUUUAAUUUAAAAUGUUAUUAAAAAGUAACCUGAGCAGGUGUACAAGUCUGAACUGUCGAUGCUGCACUUAGUCCAAUGUGUAAAAGGGAAAUUA